GCGGAAGAAGCUGCGUUCCCGGGUCGAC
rnacentral:sRNA from 1 species